GGCCACAGCUCAAGAGCAGUCACAAUUCUUUGUUCCAAGGCAAUGCAGAACUUUCUAACCCAAUGGACAGUUGCCACAGGGUUUGUUUUGCUUUUCUAACCCAUCACCUUUACUCACUUCUGCUGCACUGAGGAUACUUUUAUCUAAUGGGCUUCUAACUCACAGGCACACAUCUGCUUCUGUCUUAACUUCUAAACUCUUCAGUGUUUAUAAUUAUAGUUAGAAGAGAGUUUAUUCCAUAAUAGAAUUUAUUAUAACUCUAUUAUUCCAUAAUAGAGUUUAUUCCAUACCCACCUUAACCACACCUCUACCCUAUAAACCCUUCACCAUCUUACCCGUGCAGUUUCUCACUUACUUCAGGCAUAUUCUUACUUACAACUAUAGAAUUAUGAGUUUAUGAUUUUUCUGCUUAAUAUCUGUGCAUUGUAUUUUCACAUCAAUCCAAGCUUCUUCCAGGGCUGCAGAUCAAACCCUUCAGUGUCUGUGGGAGUUUCUGUUUUUCUGAUUGCCACAGGUGUGACAGGAAAUGAGCUGUGGAGAGCAGCUCUCCAGACAUCAUCCCCAGAUUUCAUCCCCAGCUCACUGGAAGAACAGGGAGUGAUGGAGCAUCUUCCACAGGCUGUGCCUCAGAUGUUCGGCACGUUCAGGGUUGGAAUAUUUUGUGUUCACUCUUGGUCAGACCUGAUAUUAAUGACAAUGUCACUGGAUUUCUCAUGGAGUAUCCUGAGCAGGAAGGGAUCCACGAGGAUCAUCAAAGCUUUGCUCCUAAGGGAAUCAUCCUCAUGGAUGCUCCUGCCUGCCCGGAGCUGGGCAAGCCCCUGGCAGACCCAAACCCCACAUCAAAUCCAUGCAGCUCAAGGAGGCCACCAAAGCCCUUUGAGCAGCCCACGUAUUUUCUCUAUUUUUGUAUCAAUCUGGCGUUUUCCUAAAUUCCUACCAGCUAAAUUUCCUGGAUUUUCUGCUGUCGGUGCCCAGGUGUUUGUGCUGCACUUUUUGAACUCCUCAGAGUGGCUUUUUCCAGAGUUAGGCAGAAGCCAAGUGAGGAUGAGAUCUCCAGGAUCCGUUUGCUCUUCAGCAUGUGGAGCGUGGUGCCAAUUUGCAUAUUUUGGUACUUGAACUUUACAAAUCACUCCUUAUGAUCAACAAAUAAGGUGUCAUUUACGUGCUUGUGUUCAGGAAAUGAGUUACAUUCAUCUUCCCUGUGUUCUCAGGAUGAAUUCAGGUGUUUUGGCACAGAGCACUCCCCUCGCCUGCCUCGUGCUGUUCACCUGUCAAAGGCUGUACCUCUGAGCCUGUAACUGCUUAAUUAAUGAUAUUAUAGAUGCUGUAGCCUUACCAACUGGAUUGUUUGGUCACUGGCCUAAGCUGGAAGUUUUUCAAAGGCAUAUUCAAUGAUUUAGCUUUUAAUUUAGGCAAAAUACCUUGCAUUUCAGAUGGAUUUAGUCAUAUUGCAUUAAAAAAUACAUAAUUUUUAA